rnacentral:rRNA from 1 species
GUGCAGCAGGCGCGAAAACCUCCGCAAUACACGAAAGUGUGACGGGGCCAUCCCGAGUGCCGUCCGCUGAGGACGGCUUUUUCCCCAGUGUACACAGCUGGGGGAAUAAGGAGAGGGCAAGCCUGGUGUCAGCCGCCGCGGUAAUACCAGCUCUCCGAGUGGUGGGGACGCUUAUUGGGCCUAAAGCAUCCGUAGCCGGCUGGGCAAGUCCUCCGUUAAAUCCAACGAUUCAAUCGUUGGGCUGCGGGGGAUAC